AGCCAGUAAGGCUGUGAUCUUCCUGUGAAUUCCUUAUACUUUUCAUGAGGUUUUUUUGGUAGGUGGAGGUAUGUGUGUUAGGGUCAUCUGUUAUCUACUGAAGGCUCUGAGCAAUAGUUUACUAAUUCGCAACUAACCUCUUCAGAUACCACAUGCGCUCAGCGCUUUGCCUGAUUUACUUUUUCUACAAUUAAGGGAAAAAUAUGAAACAGGUCAUUAAGGCACUGAUUGCCAGCCUGGGCUUUGUGACUUCCCUAGGUAUUUCCAGGGGUUCUCAAAAGGGAUUAUAAAAUUAUC
rnacentral:lncRNA from 1 species